rnacentral:rRNA from 1 species
UUUUACCGGGGGGAAAUAGCAUAUCAAUAAGCGGAGGAAAAGAAACUAACAAGGAUUCCCAUAGUAACUGCGAGUGAAGCGGGAAGAGCUCAAAUUUGAAAUCUGGCAGUUGUUGACUGUCCGAGUUGUAAUCUAGAGAAGUGUUACCAGUGCUGGACCGUGUACAAGUCUCCUGGAAUGGGGCAUCAUAGAGGGUGAGAAUCCCGUCUUUGGCACGGACUACCUGUACAUCAUGGUACGCUCUCAAAGAGUCGAGUUGUUUGGGAAUGCAGCUCAAAAUGGGUGGUAAAUGCCAUCUAAAGCUAAAUAUUGGCGAGAGACCGAUAGCGAACAAGUACCGUGAGGGAAAGAUGAAAAGAACUUUGGAAAGAGAGUUAAACAGUACGUGAAAUUGCUGAAAGGGAAACGCUUGAAGUCAGUCACGUUGGCUAGAAAUCAGCCUUGCUCUUGCUUGGUGUACUUUCUGGUUGAUGGGUCAGCAUCAAUUUUGAUCAUUGGAUAAAGGUCAUUGGGAAUACUCCCUGUGUCGUAAUACAGUGGUUGGGAUUGAGGAAUUCAGCACGCCGCAAGGCAGGGUUUCGACCACGUUCGUGCUUAGGAUGCUGGCAUAAUGGCUUUAAUCGACCCGUCUUGAAACACGGACCAAGGAGUCUAACAUGCCUGCGAGUGUUUGGGUGGAAAACCCAUGCGCGUAAUGAAAGUGAAAGUUGAGAUCCCCUUCAAACAGGGAGCAUUGACGCCCGGACCAGAGCUUUUGUGACGGAUCCGCGGUAGAGCAUGUAUGUUGGGACCCGAAAGAUGGUGAACUAUGCCUGAAUAGGGUGAAGCCAGAGGAAACUCUGGUGGAGGCUCGUAGCGAUUCUGACGUGCAAAUCGAUCGUCAAAUUUGGGUAUAGGGGCGAAAGACUAAUCGAACCAUCUAGUAGCUGGUUCCUGCCGAGCUCCCCCCUCGAGUGUA